AUGAUCCAAUCCCUGGACGGUCUGCUAAACUGGCUGAGAAACAUCCUGAUUCUGACUCUCUGGCUAGAGUGUAAAGGAGAAGACAGAGUGACCCAGCCAGCAGGAGAUGUCAUUGCUGCUGAAGGAGACACAGUUACACUUGGCUGUACUUUUGAGACGAGUUACACAGGUCCAGCUUUGUUCUGGUACAAACAGGAUGGAAACAACAGCCCCAAAUUCAUGCUGAGUCGCAUGCAACAGAACGAUGUGAAAACAGAGGAUAAGUUUAAGGAGAGGUUUUCAUCAACAGUUGAUUCCACCUCAAGAUCAGUUCCUCUGAAGAUCCAGAAGCUUCAGCUGUCUGACUCUGCUGUGUACUACUGUGCUCUGCAGCCCACAGAGGUCCAGGACCAGAUUAGUGGGGUGGAGAAGCCUGAAGGAGAUGCUGCUGUCAUGUAG